UAAUAGAAGACCAACCUGGAUGGGCAAGGA
rnacentral:piRNA from 1 species